AUACGUAGGGGGCGAGCGUUGUCCGGAAUGAUUGGGCGUAAAGGGCGCGUAGGCGGCCCGGUAAGUCUGGAGUGAAAGUCCUGCUUUUAAGGUGGGAAUUGCUUUGGAUACUGUCGGGCUUGAGUGCAGGAGAGGUAAGUGGAAUUCCCAGUGUAGCGGUGAAAUGCGUAGAGAUUGGGAGGAACACCAGUGGCGAAGGUGACUUACUGGACUGUAACUGACGCUGAGGCGCGAAAGUGUGGGGAGCAAACAGGAUUAGAUACCCUGGUAGUCCACACUGUAAACGAUGAAUGCUAGGUGUAGGGGGUAUCGACCCCUUCUGUGCCGCAGUUAACACAAUAAGCAUUCCGCCUGGGGAGUACGGCCGCAAGGUUGAAACUCAAAGGAAUUGACGGGG
rnacentral:rRNA from 1 species